rnacentral:lncRNA from 1 species
UUUUUCAUGACUUUUUUUAUUCUAAUUUUUUAAGGUUUUUUUUUAUUGUAACAACAUAAAGGAAGGUGAAAAAUUAUGCACUACAUGUAUCAUGACUUGCGGGGUAAUAAAACAUCGAUAGAAUGGAGGAAAAUACUUAUUGAUAAUCAUGCUCGACGUAGAGCAAAAUUCACCCUUUGAUUGUUGUUUAAUGAUAGACUUCCAACGAAAG